ACGAACGCUGGCGGCUGUGGAUAAGACAUGGCAAGUCGAACGCUGAUUAGAGGUAGCAAUAUUCUCUAGUCGGAGUGGCGCAAGGGUGCGUAACACGUGGGUAAUCUGCCGUGAAGCUUGGGAUAACUCGCUGAAAGGCGAGCUAAUACCGGAUGAGAUGACUGUUUGGCAUCAGAUGGUCAUGAAAGCUGGGGACUGUCAAAGGCCUGGCACUUCACGAUGAGCCCGCGGCCUAUCAGCUAGUUGGUGAGGUAACGGCCCACCAAGGCUAAGACGGGUAGCUGGUCUGAGAGGACGACCAGCCACACUGGAACUGAGACACGGUCCAGGACACCUACGGGUGGCAGCAGUCGAGAAUUUUUCACAAUGGGUGCAAGCCUGAUGGAGCGACGCCGCGUGGAGGAUGAAGGGUCUUCGGAUUCGUAAACUCCUGUCAUUUGGGAACAAUGGUCCAUAGAUUAACUACCAGUGGCGCAUUGAUAGUAGCCCGGAAGAGGAAGGGACGGCUAACUCUGUGCCAGCAGCCCGCGGUAAUACAGAGGUCUCAAGCGGUCUGUUCGGAUUCACUUGGGCGUAAAGGGUGCGUAGGCGGCCGGUAAGUCGGGUGUGAAAGCUCGGAGUCUAACUCCGAAACUGUCAUUCGAUACUGCCUGGCUGGAGGACUGGAGAGGGAGACUGGAAUUUACGGUGUAGCAGGUGAAAUGCGUAGAUAUCGUAGAGGGACAGAACCAGUGGCGAAGGCGGUCUCUGGACGAUUCCUGACACUGAGGCACGAAAGGUCUAGGGGAGCAAACAGGAUUAGAUACCCCUGGUAGUCCUAGACAUGUAAACGGUGCACGUUUGCUGUGAGAGGAUAUCGACCCCUUUCGUGCGACCGAGCUAACGCGUUAAACGUGCCGCCUGGGGAGUACGGUCGCAAGAUUAAAACUCAAAGAAAUGACGGGGGCCCGCACUAGCGGUGGAGUAUGUGGCUCAAUUCGAUGCAACGCGAAGAACCUUACCAGGCCUUGACAUGCAUCUCUAAGUUGUGAAAGCCAGCGAGUCCCGAAGGGACAAUUGCAAGGUGCUGCAUGGCUGUCGUCAGCUCGUGUCGUGAGAUGUUGGGUUAAGUCCCGCAACGAGUCGCAAACCCCUGUGAACUGUUGCCACCGGAGCGAGAGCUCCGAUGCACUCUGUUCAGACUGCCCCGCUCUAAAGCGGGGAGGAAGGUGGGGACGACGUCAAGUCAGUAUGGCCCUUACGGCCUGGGCUGCACACGUACUACAUACAAUGGCCCAGUACAGAACGAUCCUAGACCGCGAGGGUGGAGGAAAUCACUAAAACUGGGCCCAGUUCAGAUUGAAGUCUGCAACUCGACUUCAUGAAGCCGGAAUCGCUAGUAAUGGCGUAUCAAGCUACGACGCCGUGAAUACUUCCCGGGCCUUGUACACACGCCCGUCACAUCAUGGGAGUCGCUUGUAGCCGAAGUCGGGCGCGCUAACCAGCAAUGGGUGCAGAGCCGCCUACGCUAUGAGGCGGUAACUGGGAUG
rnacentral:rRNA from 1 species